AUAUACCAUGUCAUUUUGGACCCGAGAGCUCUUGAACACAGACCCUUCCAGUGGAGUUUGCCUGCCAGGCUUGGAAUGUUCUAAGAAAGGCUUCCUGUUGUCCCCAACGUGGAGAUUGAUGAUAUACCAUGUCAUUAUGGACCCGAGAGCUCUUGAACACAGACCCUUCCAGUGGAGUUUGCCUGCCAGGCUUGGAAUGUUCUAAGAAAGGCUUCCUGUUUCCCCAACGUGGAGAUUGAUGAUAUACCAUGUCAUUUUGGACCCGAGAGCUCUUGAACACAGACCCUUCCAGUGGAGUUUGCCUGCCAGGCUUGGAAUGUUCUAAGAAAGGCUUCCUGUUUCCCCAACGUGGAGAUUGAUGAUAUACCAUGUCAUUUUGGACCCGAGAGCUCUUGAACACAGACCCUUCCAGUGGAGUUUGCCUGCCAGGCUUGGAAUGUUCUAAGAAAGGCUUCCUGUUUCCCCAACGUGGAGAUUGAUGAUAUACCAUGUCAUUUUGGACCCGAGAGCUCUUGAACACAGACCCUUCCAGUGAAGGUUUCCUGUCAGUCUUGUCACCUACCAAAAAGAACCUCCUAUUGUUUCCUGAGUAGAUGUCAAAGAAAUAGCCAGGUCAUGUUGGGCCAGAGUACUCUAGUAUCCAUGAACACUUCCUGACGGUGGAAUUUGCCAACCACACUCCCAUUGCACCAAAAUGAGCUUCUUGUCAUCACCAGUCUUGAGACCAGCAGGAUAGUCUGGUUGAGUUGGACCAUGCUGUUGUGGUUCCCGCAGUUACUUCUGGGAGGUGGGGCCGUUUGUUGUCACUCCUUUUUAGACAGUGGUGUGGCAUCUUAUCCUUGGAGACACAGAGUCUUUCUUUCCUUAUGCUGUGAUUAGUGUUUCCUGCAGUUGAGGGUUGAGGAGAUGGGACUGGAAGUAGGAGACCUGGUGGUGUUUUCCUGCUAGUCUUGCCAUGCAGUAGGAAGAGUGUCCUGGCAUCACUCUAUUGGAGACCCCCCAUGUGAGACCUGGCCCAAUCAUCUGCUGGUAUGCUCUUGUAUGACUUCAGUCUCUUCUGGAAGAGCCCGGCAAGCUACUGAGAGUAUCUUGCCCCCACAGCAGAGCCUGGCAAGCUACCCGUGGCGUAUCUGAUAAGCCAAAGACAGUAACAACAAGUCUCACAAUGGAGACGUUACUGGUGCCCACUCAAGCAAAUCGAUGAGCAACGGGAUGACAGUGAUACAGUGAUACCAACUGGUGCCCAGAUAGCAGGAACAAAGCUCAGUAUUUGUAUGAAAAUGUUUAUUCCUUCCUCUUGAGAACUGACGUGACUAAAAGACUGUCCUCAUGGGCCAGUGGUAAUUCUUAAAUUGAUGAUAAUAAAACCUAAAGUGAAAGGAAUCUGCUGAUGCCUUUAUCUGUAUUCUUGAAUUCUGAAUUCAAAUCAUAAACUGACACCGUGCUUCUCAGUCGGUGGUGCUCUUAUCCUACUUGUACACUUUUACAGAUGUUGACUUCUUUGAAAUUCUUUAGGAGUGGAUAAUACUAGUAAAUCUCAUGAACAAGAUUCUUAAAGCGGAGAAAUUUUUGCCUCUUUGUGUCCCAGGGCUACCUCUGAUGGUGAUGCCCACUACACGUGGUGGAUGUUUACUGUGAGUGCCAUUAUCUCUACCACCAGCUUCACUAACACAAUGACACCGCUUCCUCCUGCAUGGAGACUCCUCCCCUUCCUGUGUUGCAGUGGACACCUCCUGCAGAUAAGAAAUGCUUAACUGAGAAAUGCUCAUGUUGGGAUAUCAUCGAUGAGACUUUAAUUUGGGCAUGGUGACUGUUUCCCUUGCUGCUCCUUGACUCAAUCCUGGAAGUCUCAGUAGAGGAAUUAGAAUUGCACAAGAAACUCAAAAUGGUGGAAUUGCUCAGUGCUUCCAUAAAAUAUGCAUCUAUCAUUUUCGUUUGACACAUGGUAAAUUUAAAAGUAGAAUUUAUUAAAAAGAAACUGCAUAUUUUUCAAAAUUGAAAGCAUAUCUAGAAAUUUUAUAUUUAAAUUAUGUGCCCUCCUCCCUCUCAAAUUUCAGUACCACUUUUCCUCUAAUAAAAAGUGUGUGCUUUCUUUAUGUGGAUAGAUGGCACGCAUGAAAUAUUUGGAGGAGUUUGUUGACGUGGAGUCAUAUCAUAUACCUUCUAAUGAAAAAUAUUUUAAUUAAACAUUUUAAUUCCCUUUUCAAACUUAGUAAUUUAUGUCAUUAGUUGAAUGGUUGCAUGACUGUUUUAUUAAUGAGCAAUUACAUGUUUUAAGCAUUUCUCAAUCAUAAAUACUUGUUAACACUAAAUUUCUAUGCAGUGAGCAUCCCUAUAUAUUAUUAAUUUUAUCUUGCUUACUAUAUUACAAUAAACUACUUAGGUGAAACAGUAAGAUUAAGCAUAUACACAAUUUUCAAAUUGUAAAAAUUAUUACAGGAUUUUAAUGUGUAAAAUCUUUAUCCUCAAAUGGCAACGACUGAUAUUGCCAGUUUUCCCAUGAACUUAUAAUGAAUUUUAUACAUAUUUAAAGUCUUUUGAGAUGUGAUAGCCCAAACUAUUGUCUUAAACUGUAUUUCUUUUUUUUUUGAGUUUGAUCAUUUUUUCAUGUUUAUUAACCAUCUGUAUUUUUUAUUUUUCUCUUUUUGUCUGAUUUUGAUAUGGAGGGGGUUUUAGUAUCUUCCUCAUUUGGAAGAAUUCAUUUAUUAUUAGGAUAUUAGGCUUUGAAUUGUCAAGAAUUACAGAUUUUUUAUACGCUUUAAACUUGUUUUUGUUAUAAUAAUGUGUAUGAUUGUGAUAUGUCUAUAACCAUGUCUGCUUCUAUGGCUUCUGAUUUUCGUGUCAUUUUGGAAAGAUAAUUAUACUGAUUCCAUAAAACUCUUCACCUGUGUUAACUUCUAAUUCUUUUAUGUUUUUUAAUUCAAAAUUUUAAAUCACAAGUAUUUUUUUAUUUUAAAUCUUAAAGUUGCCUACUUAUUUGCCAUUACUUGCUAUUAUUUGCUAAUAAUUGCCCAUUAAUCUGUAAUGCCAUUUGCACAUAUGCUGUAUUUUCAUCUGUGACUAGCUCCAUUUUUGUUUUGUGGGUCUGUAUGUCUCUUUUGCUCCUGUCUCAUAUGUCUUCUCAUUGGAAGAAAUUACAGUUUAAACUGUAUCAUCAACUUUAAUAAAUCAAUUUAGGGGAGAAUUGGUUUUUAAUAUUAUGUCUUCCUAUCCAAGGAUAAGGUAUGUCCUCUUUAAUUCAGUAAUUUUGUUUAUUGUUAUUAUUUUAUAGGGCUAAUUUUGUCUUUCGUUUUAUUUUCUUGGCCAUUUAUUUCUUUAUAUGAAAGUUUAUUUUCUUUGAGAUUAAGGAUUUAGAUUUUUUUCAAGAUAUGUAUACUCAGUUCUUUACUAAUAUUAAUAAUUUGUCCAAUGAUCUAGAUUGUAGAUAUGCUGAUAAAUAUCGCUGGCACUUUUAGAACACUUAAAUUUGUGGAAAUUUUCCUCACCCUUGUUGAUAGGUUAUACUUUGUUUCAUUUGAGAGGGUUUUUGUUCGGUAAGAUCUGUGGUGCUCAGGGGUUAUUCCUAGCUCUGUGCUUGGGAAUGUCCCCUUAUUUUGCUAGGGGACCACAUAAGGUGUUUGGAAUUUGACUUGGUCAACUGCAUAUAAGGCAAGUACCUUACCUCCUGUACUAUCUCUCUGGCCCUGUUUUAGAUUCUAAUAGUAGUCACUUCUUUGGUUUAACCAGCAUAUUGUUGCUAUUUUCAAGAAAAGACCUACAGAAAGAGUCAUGAUUAAGGAAAGCCAAAUUUAUAUUAAACUACCACUUGGAUAAGUUUUAAUAAGUGUUUCAAAUAGGAAAUUAGGGGUUUUGAGUCUUUAGUGAGGUAGUUUUUUUUUUAUAAGGCAUGAAUAAAAUAUUUCAUGCAAUAUUUUCAGUUUGGUUGAAAGAAUAUGGUGAAGAUCUUGAUGUGAUUCUAGGGUAUCAAAUUGUCAAAUAAUAAGAUGCCUGAGUAAGAUGUCAAAGAUGAGUUAUUGAGCAAAUUGGUAGUUUAUGCAUUGGCUUACCAUAUUAUCUUGGUGUAUAGGACUCUGCUGUAGAAUCAGGUUGGUAAGUCAUUUUCACAUGGUUGGUCUCAACUGUGAAUGUAAAGUGCUUUUUAAAAGUUUUUAUCUCAUGUAUCAUUAUAAAAUUAUCCUUUUUAUUAUCUUUCUAAAAAAUUUUAAUCAAACCCAGGUGGUAGAUGUAAUCAAAUGUUUUUCAGAAGCAAUUGUAUUCUUUAAAUGCUUAUCAUUGUGAAAUCGUUCAUUUUCUACUAUUAAAAUUGCUCCUUUUUUCCUGGAAUGAACAACUUUAUUUAAAGGGUUUAUUAUUUAUACUUAUUAUAAAAUUGAGUGUCUGAUUUCAUUUGGAAUUUUUCCACAUAUACUACUAACUGAAAUUCAUCUGUAAUUUUCUAUUGUCAUGGUUUUUAUCACUUUCUGGUUGUUUUAAAAAAUAAAUUUAAGAUUUUUGAGGUUUUCCUGUUCUGAUAUAGAAUGAAUUGAAAAGGUCUAGCAUUGAUAACAGUAAUUCAGUGAACAUGCCAAUGAAAUCAUUUUGACGCA